GAUGGUGGCAGUGGGGCUGUGGGAGGAGAUAAGGUUGAGAGGGAAGGGUGUGAGCAAAUAGAAAUGCUUGGUUUGGAAGUUGUGGAUUGAUGACGUGGCUGGAGAUGUGUUUCUUUGUGAACUUAUAACAUAUUUUUGGACCAUUAAACGAUUUUAAAUAAAAAAGUUGUCAACUACAAAGUUUAAAAUUUCAUCGAGGUCUACAAUUUUGAUAUAAAGUUUGUAUUCAUCUGAGAUCGUAUGUAAAAUUUUGUAUUAAAAAAAUAUAACCUUUAAACUUAAUCCUUCUCAUCCUUAUCAUCAAAUGAAUAACUUGUAUGUUUGUGACCACUAAAUGAACUCAAAUGAAAAAUUUGUGGACUACAAAAUUUUAGAUCUC
rnacentral:lncRNA from 1 species